GACAGAGGGUGCAAACGUUGUUCGGAAUUACUGGGCGUAAAGGGCUCGUAGGCGGCCAACUAAGUCGGAUGUGAAAUCCCCAAGCUUAACUUGGGAACUGCAUCCGAUACUGGAUGGCUUGAAUCCGGGAGAGGGAUGCAGAAUUCCAGGUGUAGCGGUGAAAUGCGUAGAUAUCUGGAGGAAUACCGGUGGCGAAGGCGGCAUCCUGGACCGGCAUUGACGCUGAGGAGCGAAAGCUAGGGGAGCAAACGGGG
rnacentral:rRNA from 1 species